GAUCCAGAGGAGGUGCAGUGGCAUGGAUCCACCCCCCUUUCAGUCGGUGACACAGCGGGACCAGCAGCCAGGGACUUUUUUAAAGUCCCCAAAUCGGCAAAAUCUGUCUGCCCCAGUGUGGGGUGAGGAGAAGCUGGGAACAGGGGGUACAGCCACCCCUACAGCACCAGUCAGUGAUCCUCCAUCUCCCUUUACAAAAUCCUGGAUCCACUCAAGUAUAUCCAUUACAUAAACACAAUUUCAUAA